CUAAAGAAGGAAAAACCGGGAUGCAUAUCGUCCUUUUUUUUCCUCCCAAGGAUAGCGGUGUUGUGCAGCGCCAAACUCCCCGCAAAAAGGCACGUUUUCCCCGGCUGUCAGGUACCCACAGGACGCCGCUGCAUCACGGAGGUUAAAAAUUAUAAAUUAAAGAGGGAAAAAAAAAGAAGAAAAAAAGCUCAAAACAAACGCACCUAAUUCCACCUGCGCAGGUAAAAGCAAAGUUAAGCUCCAACUCUGACGCGGGGCGCGCGGAAGUUUAUUGUCCAACAUUUUCGCCGAAAAAACGCCAGAAAUAAUAACAGAAAAAAAAACCAAAGUGAGGAGGCAACAUACCUUGCGUUUUUUGGUUUUUAAAGAAGGUGUCUUGCUUGGAUAUAGGAGUCGCGAGGAGGGAUGAUACUGCAGCGCGUUGUCGAGGAAGAAGCCCCCUGAAACGCACGCCACCUAUCUUCACGGGAGGGGAUAAUUGAGGAGAGCCAAACGUGAGCAUCUUCUGGGUUGAACGUGAAGUUUUUUUUCUCUCUCUCUCCCUCCCUCUCUCUCUCUUUCUCUCUCCUUUCUCCCCACCCCCCUUCUCGCUCCUCUUUGCUUUCCCUCUCUCUCUCCAUCUCUUUUUGAGUGAAACCAACUAUGUCGGGCUUCGACGCGGAGCAAAGAACAGGCGACAGUGUGUUUUUCCCUCUCUCUUUCUCCAUGUGAGUGUGUGUGUGUGUGUGUUAGUGUAGAAAAAGGGGGAGAAACUUGGAGCGCGUCCACGCCGGCCCGCAAUCAUUAUAAUCCUAAUUAUCAUCAUCAUAGAAGUAUUCCAUAACUUCAGUGCCUCUCCAACUUGUCUGCAUGGAUCCAGAGGACUUGAAUGCCAAAUGGAGUUUUUUAGUUUUUUGAGGAGGGAGGUCAGACGCUCCUGUUUUACCUCGGGUCAAAAGUGGAUCCAGUCCUGGGUGAAUUAUUGUCACGCGUAAUUUACUGCCACGGUGCUUGCAUGCAAACGAAGCAGUCUGCCACUUUCUCUCUCUCCCUGUGUCUCACUCUCUCUCCCCCCCCUGCCCCACACACACACACACUCUCUCUCUCUCCCACACACACACACACACACUCACCCAUUUGAACCGUAGCUCCAGCUCUGUGUCCCAUUCAUCCAAGCGAGUUUGGAGUGGCACCUCUCGCCUUAUUUUUUAUUUUUUUGUUUUUUUUUACGCACACAGGCUCUCCUUCGUGGGGCUCCACAUAUUCACUGUGAAAACGGAUUACAGUCAGUGUGUGACCUAUAGGGGGACCUUGUGCUUAUAUGAAUAUAUUGAUAUAAAUGAGGGGGGGAGGGGGGGAUUCAUAAUUUUUGACAGUUUUUUUUUUUAAACUUGAUUCUGUCAAUUUCACAUUAAAAGUGCAACAUGUUGAUGCACUGUGUGAGUGAAUUAAUUAUUAGGACAAUUUGUUUGUAAUGUUUGGGAUAAAUUGGUUCAUUGUCAACUUAAAACAGGCUGACAGAUUUGUAAUGAUUGAAAUCAUUUGGAAUGAAUUGUGAGUUGCUGGUUUUUUUAUUGCAUUGCUCGCUGCAUGUUCUCUCCUCUGUGUUUGUAUGUGUUUUUUAUUUUUUAUUUCUCUGAAUAAAGAUUUGAAGCUUU